rnacentral:rRNA from 1 species
GGCUAACGCUGGCGGCGUGUCUUAGCCAUGCAAGUCGAGCGGACUUAUGGGGGUAACUUAUAAGUCAGCGGCGGACGGCGGAGUAACACGUAGCUAACCUACCCUCUGGACGGGGAUAACCUACCGAAAGGUGGGCUAAUACCCGAUGUAGUCAUCCUGUAUAGGGGUGAUGAAAGGUGGGCUUCUGUUUACAAGCUCAUGCUGGAGGAGGGGGCUGCGGCCUAUCAGGUAGUUGGUAGGGUAAUAGCCUACCAAGCCGAUGACGGGUAGCCGGCCUGAGAGGGUGACCGGCCCGAGGGGCACUGAGAUACGGGUCCCACUCCUACGGGAGGCAGCAGGCUAGAAAUUUGGGCAAUGGGGGAAACCCUGACCCAGUGACGCCGCGUACAGGAAGGAGCCCUUCGGGGUGUAAACUGCUGUCGUGUAGGGAGAAGGGUACUAAGGUGAACAAUCUUAGUACUUGACGGUACUACAGGAGGAAGCCCAGGCUAACCUCGUG